GACAGAAGACACCGGCACUUUAAACUCU
rnacentral:piRNA from 2 species